GCGCACACACCUAUAACGUAAUUGUGUGAGGCUAUUGUAGUGGAGUGACGAGUGUAAUUGUAUCAUAGUUUAUGGAGAAAAACAAUUUAACAGGGACAUUCGACGUGCUGUCAAAGCGUUCUUUGGCCCGCUGUCCAAAGAACAUAGAAAACGAUACGGAAUGCGAUCAUCUCAUGUGCGGUGGCGCCACAAAGUGGAUUGCAGAAGUUAACUCAGCAGCAUGGACGCGUUCCAGGCAGUUGCUGCGACCGCAAGGGGUCCAUGUGGAACUGACUCACCUUAAGCAACACGCAAUACGGUGGACACGAAUGAAAAAACGCACAACUAAGCAAGGGGGAACCUGGACAGAUCCAUCAGGCAACGACAAAGAUGGAACUGGAAGAAGGGUUUCAUGUUCUGGCCUUUAAAAUAAAAGGCAAACACGUGGAGCUUGUCAACGUGAACAAUGCCAUCAAAACGGUUCCUUUGGAUGAGUGGAACCAAAGAUUCCCAGAGGGCCCUAAUUUUCCCCCAGAGGGGUUUUUGUGGUAAUUUUGUUUGAAAUUUUGUUCUAUUGUUUGUAUUUCUUGUUACUUCUUUGUUCUGUUUAAU